AUACCAAAAGUGUUUUUUAGGGGAAGGGUUUUCUAAUAACCUUUACCAACUUGGGCUUUUUGGGAUAAUAAAUGAAGACCAUACUCCACCAUUGGGCUAUGUCACUAAACAUAUAGUUCACUACUAUUUUGUGGCCUAUGUU